UACGUAGGGUGCAAGCGUUGUCCGGAAUUAUUGGGCGUAAAGAGCUCGUAGGCGGUCUGUCGCGUCGGCUGUGAAAACCUGGGGCUUAACUCCGGGCCUGCAGCCGAUACGGGCAGACUAGAGUUCGGCAGGGGAGACUGGAAUUCCUGGUGUAGCGGUGAAAUGCGCAGAUAUCAGGAGGAACACCGAUGGCGAAGGCAGCUCGCUGGGACGGUACUGACGCUGAGGCGCGAAAGCGUGGGGAGCAAACAGG
rnacentral:rRNA from 1 species